AUCGCUUUGAAUUAAUUUUAAUUAACUUAAUCUAUUUAAAAUUAUUAUAAUAAAAAUUAUAUUAAAACGAAAGCAUUUCGUAGUUUGGCCAAUGUCAUAUGCUUCUUUCGAACAAUAUAUUUUUAGAUCGAGGAAUAUCGAGCUACCAUCAGAUGAUCUGUUAGACACGUGUCAUUAGAAACAACACAGAACAAGUGAUUACAACAUCAAUGAUUCCAAAGAAAAAAUUCAAUCAAAAAAUUCAUAAAUCAGAAAUCUACAAUGGAUUUUAAAUUAAUAAUUCUUUCAUGG